UCCAGCUCAUCCAGCUAGAGAACCCGGCCCGUUCUGAGAUUAUACUGUCAUAACUUGAUCUAGAUAAUACUAGCGAAAGGACAUGCGUCGCACUGAUUG
rnacentral:ncRNA from 18 species